AUUAUUGAAUAUAUUUAUAUCUAGAAUUAUAUACUUUAAUUAAUUAUUUAAAUUACAGUUUCCGGUUUCCGGGAGUUCCACGUGAGAGGUGGAGUCGAUCGCGUAGUUUGAGACGGAGGAAUAAAAUGUUUGUGCUGGCAGGGCCAGCUUGCCAUGGGCGCAAGAGAGAGGGGGAGUGAGUGGGAGGGACGCUCAGCGGAAUCUCACCUAGGCCACAAGAACACCCAGGGCCGGCCCUGCCAGAGGAGCAUGAUGGGAAGCCAUCCAGCUGUCUCCUCUGGCCCAGAGCUCAUCUCUGUAUUCUGAGAUCUCACACUGAACAACCUGUCCUCACAAGUUUUGUGUCAGUUCCAGCUACCUGAGCCGUGAGAUCAUACGAAGCUGUGAAGUAUGCAAGACAGUAGGAACAGCUCAGGUGUUUCCCUGCCUCUGCUACACUGUUCUCAAGGCUCUGAGUAAAGAAAGGGAUUUGAAAUUGGAGUGUCUAGCUGCUCCUCUCCUCUUAGCUACUCCUCUCCUCUGGGAUGACAUGGAGCAGGACUGUCUGAAAUGCCGCAUCUGUCAGGACAGCAGAAAGCCUGUGCACUCCAGACGGGGGUUGGGGGGGGAGGGGGGGUUUUCUUCACUCUGCUUGUAGUGUGAGGCCUGCAGUGUGAUAAAGCCUCUCUGAAUUGACAGUUUUAUUUCUGCUUGUGGUUUAAAUAAUGAUGUUCUGGAACUGAACAAAAGUGUAGGUUGGGUUCAACAUUGGAAAGGACCAAAUCAUCCCUGAACCCCCCCGCCCCCUAAACACACACACACACACACACAGUACUCCUACCACCCGUAACCAAAUCUACGUCCCUGCAUCUGAAAACUCUUCCAUUCCCCUUAACAGUGGUCCAAACAUCACACUAUGUUGUUUAAAUCAGACACACGGUGGGGAAAUUAAGGGUUAAUGACAUGUUCUGGACUGCUAAAUAUGUAAAUGUAACAUUUAUGUAACCCUAUAAACAUUUUUGCUGACAGAAUGUUUUGAGACACUUGCUAAAUUCUGUAAAAAUGUUGCAGACCUAUUGGAUAUAUAACAAAAGUCCAUUGACAAAUAUUUUUUAACAUAUCUGCAUAUAUCUUCUGCACAUAUAUACUAUUUUCAUUAAGUGUCUUAUUUUUUGAUUCAUUCAGUUCUUUUCUUGCAAUUUUAGUAUUAAUUGUAAUUGCAGUGACUGGCUCCCAAAGGGAUACUAAACACAAAUGUUUGUUUUAUGUUAUUGGAAAGGUGUUACUAAUUUAAAAAGCAUCCAAAGAGACUGCUUGUCAAUUAACAUUUUAACUCAGAAAAGGUCUUUUAGAAUUAUAAUUUGGGUUUCAAUUUAUUACUGUUUGACAUGAAUAUCUUACUUAAAACCACUGGUUGUUUCUAAUGUGAUACACAUUACCAGUCAAAAGUAUUUGCACACCACAGGUUUUUACCACAUUUCCAUUUAUUUCAUAAA